rnacentral:rRNA from 1 species
GAUGAACGCUGGCGGCGUGCCUAAUACAUGCAAGUCGAGCGAACAGACGAGCAUCUCGCUCCUCUUACGUUAGCGGCGAACGGGGAAGUAACACGUGGCUAACCUACCUAUUAGACUCAGCUAACUUCUGGGAACCGGAGCUAAUACCGGAUAAUCUAUUGAACCGCAUGGUUCAAUAGGUAAUGACGGUUUUGCUUUCACUUAUAGAUGGUUCCGCGCCGCAGUAGCUAGUUGGUAAGGUAACGGCUUACCAAGGCCACGAUGCGUAGCCGACGUGAGAGGGUGAGCGGGCACACUGGAACUGAGACACGGUCCCGACUCCGACGGGAAGGAGCAGUAGGGGAUGGGACGAAAAGGGAGAGAGCCUGACGGUGCAGCGGCGAGGGAGUGAUGAAGGUCUUCGGAUUGGAGAACUCUGCUAUUAGGGAAGAAGAAAAGUGCAAGUAGCUAGGAGCGUCUUGACGGUACCUGUAGAGGAAGCACCGGCUAACUACGUG